rnacentral:rRNA from 1 species
UACGUAGGGUGCGAGCGUUGUCCGGAAUUAUUGGGCGUAAAGGGCUCGUAGGCGGUUUGUCGCGUCGGGAGUGAAAACCAUGAGCUUAACUCAUGGCUUGCUUUCGAUACGGGCAGACUAGAGGCAUGCAGGGGAGAACGGAAUUCCUGGUGUAGCGGUGAAAUGCGCAGAUAUCAGGAGGAACACCGGUGGCGAAGGCGGUUCUCUGGGCAUGUCCUGACGCUGAGGAGCGAAAGCGUGGGGAGCGAACAGG